UGCAAUCUCGACAUGAACUCGUCUUGGCUUCCCAGUGCGACUCCAACCAUCCCAACUUUGAUUCCCUCUACGGUUUUCUUACCUGAAUCUGUGGCUGGUCUAAUUUCUAAUUUUCAGUGGUAAUGUUCCCUUACUGAAAAAGCUUUUCUCUCCGAUGACGGUUCAUUUAAUUUGCUCGAUUCCAUUACCAUCUUCUCCGGUUGCAGACAAAUGGGUUUGGUCAUUCACCCGCUCAGGCAUUUAUGCGGUUUCUUCAGGAUAUCGCCUACAUCAAAACAUCAUUUCAAGCUCUCCUGAAAUUGUGGACUCCUCUGUUUGGGGGAUUACUUGGGGUCUGCCGUUGCAACCAAAGCUCAAGUUUUUUGUUUGGAAGAUCUUACAUGAUGUGCUACCUAUUGCAGAUGGACUUAUUGCUCGCAAUGUUUCGGCUGAUCCCUUAUGUCCAGUUUGCGGAAUUGAAGGGGAGUCCCUUUCUCAUCUUCUCUUCAAUUGUCUUGUGAGUUUGCAACUUGCAAGCUAUCGGAUUGCGAAUCUUUCUCCUCGAUCAAUCAACACCCAGCAGCCUUUUGGCGUCGAAUUUGCACUACAGAACCCCUGGUCGCAGUAAAGCUAGUCUAUUUUUGGUGGCGUCUCUGAAAAUCGUGAAAUGCUGUGGUCUUCGAUCGUUUCCAACAUUCAAUUCCCUCUUUACGACGACAUUUCCUUCUUCAUUGGUCUGAAGGAGCCCGACUGAUGGAUAGAGCUCAAGAUAAGCAAGCGACUUCAAGAAUUACGACUACAUCACAUCAAGCAUUUGGACAGGGACCAAUUUGGCGUUUCUUUGUUGAUGCUGUUGUACGACCCAACUUGGAUAAUGAAUCUCACGAAGGCUAUGGUGCAAUUGGUGUCGUUCUUCGUGGAGCCUGCAAUUCGCUUGUAGCAGCUACUGGUUGGUAGUACCGUCGAUCACAGAUCCGCUUGUUCUAGAGUUCAUGGCUAUCCGCCAGGCUAUGUUGGCAGCCAUUCCAAGACUUCAUGAGCCAAUUAGUAUUUCGUCGGACUGUUUGGAGGCUUUUCGACUAAUCAAUGGUUAUGAUGAUGAUAUUCGGAUUGGACAGUUGCUAUUGGAAUGCAAAAAUUUCUUAUAGUCCUUCUCUCCGAUUUCUCUUAGGUUUAUCGCUCGUAUCGAUAAUUGAGCCGUUUAUUUUGUGACACGUGAGGCUCUACGUUAUCCUACCAAUCGACAUUCAUCAUCACUUUUUUAUGGUAUCUUCCUAAUUACUUGUUUCUAUAUCUUCCAACUUUGAGUAUCAUUACUGAUACUUUUGAAUAAAUAAAUAAAAAGUCUAUUUCAACCGAAA
rnacentral:lncRNA from 1 species